rnacentral:rRNA from 1 species
AUGAACGCUGGCGGCGUGCCUAAUACAUGCAAGUCGAGCGAACGGACGAGAAGCUUGCUUCUCUGAUGUUAGCGGCGGACGGGUGAGUAGCACGUGGAUAACCUACCUAUAAGACUGGGAUAACUUCGGGAAACCGGAGCUAAUACCGGAUAAUAUUUUGAACCGCAUGGUUCAAAAGUGAAAGACGGUCUUGCUGUCACUUAUAGAUGGAUCCGCGCUGCAUUAGCUAGUUGGUAAGGUAACGGCUUACCAAGGCAACGAUGCAUAGCCGACCUGAGAGGGUGAUCGGCCACACUGGAACUGAGACACGGUCCAGACUCCUACGGGAGGCAGCAGUAGGGAAUCUUCCGCAAUGGGCGAAAGCCUGACGGAGCAACGCCGCGUGAGUGAUGAAGGUCUUCGGAUCGUAAAACUCUGUUAUUAGGGAAGAACAUAUGUGUAAGUAACUGUGCACAUCUUGACGGUACCUAAUCAGAAAGCCACGGCUAACUAC